ACUAAAAUAGCUCAAAAAGAGCGUCGCAUUGAAGCUGCGGAGGUGGCUUUUCUGCCUUUUAGUA
rnacentral:tRNA from 1 species